ensembl:snRNA U6 U6 spliceosomal RNA
GUGCUCACUUCGGCGGCACAUAUACUGAAAUUGGAACGAUACAGAGAAGAGUAGUGUGGCCCCUGCACAAGGGUGACACGCAAAUUCAUGAAGCCUUCUGUAUUUUU